GUGCCAGCCGCCGCGGUAAAACGUAGGUGGCGAGCGUUAUCCGGAUUCACUGGGCGUAAAGCGCGUUCAGGCGGCUCGACAAGUCGGGCAUGAAAUCUCUCGGCUCAACCGAGAGAGGCUGUUCGAUACUGUAGGGCUUGAGGGCAGUAGAGGGUGGUGGAAUUCCGGGUGUAGUGGUGAAAUGCGUAGAUAUCCGGAGGAACACCAGUGGCGAAGGCGGCCACCUGGACUGUACCUGACGCUCAAACGCGAAAGCUAGGGGAGCGAACGGGAUUAGAAACCCGCGUAGUCC
rnacentral:rRNA from 1 species